GACCGCGUAGAUUAUUUUUUAAAUCCUGAGGCUGUUAACUUCAAGAAGAGUUUUGGAGAUUCCGCGGUCG